GAGCAAAUAGGGAACUAUGCUACAAUGGCAGCAGGUCCCAAUUAGAUGGAUGGGAUGGCAUUUCACUUGAAUAUUCUAUUGAAUGGUCAUUGCAGUUGUUCAUUACACAGGAAGUACUCUCAAAAAUCAGCAUUUGUUGCAGAUGCUAGCUGAAAGAGAUGAACUUAAUAUCAAGG